rnacentral:rRNA from 1 species
UUUUGGACAAUGGGCGAAAGCCUGAUCCAGCCAUGCCGCGUGCAGGAUGAAGGCCUUCGGGUUGUAAACUGCUUUUGUCCCCCCCCCAAAAAGUCUUCUCUAAUACGGGGGGCGAAUGACGGUACCGUAAGAAUAAGCACCGGCUAACUACGUGCCAGCAGCCGCGGUAAUACGUAGGGUGCGAGCGUUAAUCGGAAUUACUGGGCGUAAAGCGUGCGCAGGCGGUUAUAUAAGACAGAUGUGAAAUCCCCGGGCUCAACCUGGGAACUGCAUUAGUGACUGUAUAGCUAGAGUGCGGCAGAGGGGGAUGGAAUUCCGCGUGUAGCAGUGAAAUGCGUAGAUAUGCGGAGGAACACCGAGGCGAAGGCAAUCCCCUGGCCUGCACUACGUCAGCACGAA